UACAGAGGUCCCAAGCGUUGUUCGGAUUCAUUGGGCGUAAAGGGUGCGUAGGCGGCGCGGUAAGUCGGGUGUGAAAUCUCGGGGCUUAACUCCGAAACUGCAUUCGAUACUGCCGUGCUUGAGGACUGGAGAGGAGACUGGAAUUUACGGUGUAGCGGUGAAAUGCGUAGAUAUCUGGAGGAACACCGGUGGCGAAGGCGGCAUCCUGGACCGGUAUUGACACUGAGGCGCGAAAGCCAGGGGAGCAAACGGG
rnacentral:rRNA from 1 species